UCUCAUCAAUGCCUAUAAAUAUCUGAAGGGUGGGUGUCAGGGGGAUGGGGCCGGGCUCUUUUCAGUGGUGCCCAACGCCAGGCCAAGGGGCCACGGGCACAAGCUGGAACAUGGGAAGUUCCCCCUGAACAUGAGGAGAAACCCCUUUGCUGUGCGGGUGCCAGAGCAGGGGCACAGGCUGCCCAGAGAGGCUGUGGGGUCCCUUCCCUGGAGACAUUCACCCCCCGCCUGGACGCGGCCCUGUGCCCCUGCUCUGGGUGUGCCUGCUCCAGCAGGGGUGGGACGGGGUGAGCUCCAGAGGGCCCUUCCAACCCCCACCAGUCUGGGAGUCUGGGAUUCUGUGUUGAGAUAACUGUUGGACUUGAUGAUCCUAGAGGUCUUUUCCAACCUUAAUGAUUCUAUGAUUCUAUGAUUCAGCUCAAGCAUUUGGCUAACUGUUCCUGAGCAUGCAAACUCACAUUGCAAUGUAGGGAAUUAUUAAAAUUAAACCCUUGCUGUGUUACAAAGGACAUUUUAAUGCUCAAGAACAGUUGUUCCUACAAAUGUUUGAGAAGGACACCUAUUUUGCAGCAACCUCUGAAUUAUACCAGGCACUGCAGCAGUGUGGUUCUUGGAGGCCAAAGAGAGCAGUGGUGUGUUUGACAGCUCUAGCUCUUUCUUGGGUUUAUUUUCUUUUACUUUUAGGAAUAAACUGUGCCCAUAUCCCAUUGUGGAUGAAAAAUUACCAGUGAUUCCCUUUGUUCUUUGCAAAGUGUCUCUCUGUCACUGUCAUCACACUGGAUGAGGGUAAGAAAUCGGAACGGAGAUGGGGACUGCUGAUGCAACUUUGGCUGCUCCCUAGAGAGCUGCCAGUAACUUGCAGAGCUUGGCACCCUCUCCCUGUGCAAGCAGGGAUGGGGCAUGUUCUACACAUCCAUUCCCACAUCCUCCAGCUAUGCCCAGCAUGGUGGUGGCGGAGCAGGAGGUGUUUACCAAGAGGGUGCCAGCUUCCUUGCACUGCCAUUGAAACACCUCCAAUCCUCCUUGACUUUCUGUCCCUGGUAGGAGGUCCUCCAGUCUCACAAAUGACCGAAACCCCUGUCUCCAGCUGCAUAUCCAGCCGCUUCAUGAACAGAUGACAUCAUGUGAUGGGUAUGGCAGAGACUGUUUGACCAUGCUGGCCUGGCAGUGACUGCCACCAAGCCGCCAUGGAAGGACGUGUCUUCUACAAGUGGUUUCCUCAGCCAGGCGGGAUGCCACCACCUGCCCGCACCACCUCAGCGUGGGAGGGCGGACCCAGUGCUGUGCCGCUGGUGUAGGAGAGGACGCCCCGCAGCAGGAGGACGUGGAACCCCCAAAGGAGUGAAUGUCAUAUGCGGUUUGUGCUAUUCCUUCUAGGUUUUUUCCCCAUUGCCUCCUCAACAGCAGUUAGAUGUUUAAGUGCAGGAUUUUGUUGCAAGAGGAAUGGUCACAGGGACCUUCUGCAGAGCCCUUCCCCGUUCUUUUUUGUCUCCUGGACCGCCAGGAUCCCAAUUUAUGUGUGACUUUUUCCAUAAUGCACUCCAGCAGAGUUACUUUGAUCCUUCCCAAUGGAAGCAUGGCCCACAGACCUCGAAAUCUGUUUGCUCAGGUGUGUGUCCAUAUAUAUUUUUUUUUUACACAAAACCCUUCAUUUCUCAGUUGUUUCUUUUUUUUUUAAGGAGACAGAUUAGUCAAGUGAAUUUCCACAACAGGUUUUAUUUGGCUCCAAGUUCAACUUUAUUGUGGUGCUGCUGCUGCUGCUCCUUUUAUUUUUCUUCUAUGGGGUGGUUGUGACAGGUUGGAGCACCUAAUUUGUGCAGGCAGGUAACCCAGAAAAUAAGGAAAACGCAACAGCUGGAGAAAUCAAGCUCUGAGGGCUGGAAUGGUUUCCUUGUGCAGAUUUGUCCAAAUCACAGCUAAGAAGGGGCACGGCUCGCUGAGAAAAUGUGUGCCCUGUGAAAUAAAAGGAUUAGGAAACCACUUUAUAGCUUGUGAGAUUUAUGGUUUCAGAACAAAUGGCUGUAGUUCACUUGGCCUGCAGCUCCAAAGGAGGCCAAAACAAACUGCUUGGAAGCUUUGUUUCAAGAGGAAGGCUCAGCUCCCCCCGUAAGUGGGUCUUUGUACAUAAUGGGAGUACUGCAAAGAGCCUUGUGUGUCCUGCAGCACCUCUAAGCUACCACUUUAUGUUGCCUGAAUGCAGUAAUACUGAAAGGUAAAUUCGUUCCAAAUGUCCCAGCACAGUGGAAAUGCCAGCCUGGAAACCCAGUGAUGGAGCAGAGAUUUAAAAAGAAUAGUUCAUGGGAAAGAGUGCAGGGGAAAUGUCUGACGUGACCUCUUUUCUCUCUCUCAGACCAAUACAGGCACAAGGCAUGGCAUUGCCUCGCUCUGCUGAAGAGAAGAACUGAGGUUGGUUUGGGUUUAGCAGAGCCAAAGAAGCUUCAUUUCAUCUUCAUUUGUGUUUCCAAGGGGAGCUCCCCUGUGUGGAGUCUCUGAUGUCUGAUAAAGGGCAAGCCCACAUCCAUUUAUUCGCUAUAGCGAGGAGAAUUUAAGCGUCUCUGUCUCUUGUAGUUCUGCAGGACCUGUGUUCCUCCCUUCCUUUGUAUGAAAUUGCCCGGUUGGUUCAAAGGUACUAGUGGAAGGCUUGAUAAGCUCCCACAAAUACCCCAGCACAAUUAGAGAGGUCUUUUAAUUCUUUCAAAAACUGGGCUAAAAAUAUCAAGUAAAAUAAUAGCAUAUGUAGGAGCAUGCAGAACUGUUAAUGUAAUUUCUGUCUGGCAACUUAGUCUAUUUUAGCAGACAAACAGGGUAAUUAAUUUACUUUUUUCUAUUGAAAAGCCAGGUGUAUUAGGAUUCUUUUUACUUUUAAAUGUGAUACUUCUAACAGAAUUGGAUAGCGUACUAAACUCUAGAUGAAUGAACUCGAUUAUUCUCAAUAAGCAGCUCAAAUUGAAUUUAUUCUGAAGGAUUCAGUCUUCCAGCCCAGUCACAUAAGGACUCGCUCUAGCGUGACCAGAGCAAUUCUGGCAUAGGGGUGUUUGUCCCUGCCUGAUUGCUUCGGAUUCGUUCUUGACACUGGGAGCCCAAAAGGACUCCCAGGCUGCUGACAACAUUUAUCAAGCCCAGCUGCCGAGGAAGGAUGCUGAUUGUAGGCAGCACAUAGUAUGUCAUGGAGAAAACAUUUCCUUCUGCUAUGCUUUCCAAGUCACUGAGGUCCUUCUGUGCAAACAGAGACAACGCUAAAUUCCUGCUUGGCAACCUUCAGCAUGGCUCUGCGGGGUCGUCUGCCUACCACAGAGAGCCACCUGCAUUUAAAUAUAUUCACCUUCUUUGCAUUAAUCUAAAUGUGCUCAGGAGCAGUAGGGAUGUGCAAGGCAAGCCAGGAAGGAGAGCAUCUGUCACUGGCAAAUGCGUCCAGAUUUUCUAAUGAGCCUGGUGAUCGUGGGUGCCUCAGUUUUAAACUGGUUAAUUUGCAGCUCCUGCCCAAAAGGCUUUCCAGCAGUAUGUUCAUGGCCAGUGCCUUUGAAAUCAGGUGCCAUUCAAAUGUCUUCUUCCAUAUAAUUUCAGAUUUCUGAGUACUACAGCCAUUCUGAGAAACUGGGGCCCUGAGAGACCAUCAAAAGGACUUAAAGAUUGUAAUAAUUGGUUUACUGGAUUAGAAAUUAGAAUAAAAUUUGUGCUUACUCACCUUUCAGUAAAUGAUUGUAUGCCUUGGUGCUCAUAUCUAAAUAUUUAGACAAGUGGCCUGACUUUGAAGGUUCAGAGAUUGUCUGAAAUCUCCCAUGCAGAUAGCCUGUCUUUUUGGACUGACUUUUCAUAUUAUUUAAACAGUGAAAAGCAAUCAUUUGGGAGCUGGAAUUGAUGCCAAGGAGCCUUGUAAAACCUAUGAGUCUCCCACUCUCUGGCCAAGCAUUUCCCUCCACCUCGUGGGUUGACGCUGUGAGAGCAAGUCCAAUAACGAUGAGAGAAGAGAAGGAAGAGGUUUCUGGGAACAGCAGCCAAGUCUGUCCUGAGGAAGUAUUUAGAGCUUGGUCUGUUAUGGAUUUGAGCUCUUCAGGCUUGCACUGAAAUGAAGUAUCAAGUGACAAGAGCCACAUUCACUGGUUCCUACAUUACAGCAAUAGUACAGAGAAAAAGAGGUCUUCCCAGUUCUGCGUGCUAAAUAGUUACUUCUAGUUUAUAUCUUCCCCAUUCCCAAUAAAGAAGACACACUGGACCACUCCUCCACUGUUUUAUUUUUUUCUUCUGGGAAACGAUGGGCAUCCUUGGUUCGCAGCAUGACCAAAAUCACCAUUCUCUCUGAAACAGCAGCUUCGUAUCUUGCUGCAGACACUGGCCAGACCCAGCACCACAGGGAAAACUGCAAAAAUCUCUUUAGAAUGUAUUAUAAGGUGAGAUACCUGAAGCAAAAGCUUUCUCCUGGCCUUUUCUUUCUCCCUAGUAGCUUGAAGUUCAGCCGUAUGCUAAGCAGUAGGUAUUUAUAGCCUCCCUUAAGCUUAAUAUUACUGAUUACAGCUCUGGAUAGUGUUUUUAUCCUUAUACAGCUAAUCUUUCCUUUGAAGGGUACUGGAACUAACCAGGACCAAGGCAUGGAUCUAUCUACUGUCCUGAAAUAGUCCAGGUUGUGUAGUUGUGCCUGUUGCCCGGCAUGGUUUUGGCCACGCUCUCCAGCAGUUUCCAGGGAGAGCACAGCCUUUGGGUUACUCUCAGCAGGCAGGAUGGUGGAGGACACUGUGUUUUGGUGAUUAUUUAGGUGUAUGGAUGUCAGCUGUGCUGUGCAAAUGGUCUUUCGGGUCAGAAAACAGUCUCUGAAUCAUCUUAUUUACUAGAAGAGAUGUAACCACUAAUAUUAACGUGGCUCUGAACUGCAGAGACACCGCUUGCCCUCCCGUUCUUGGAUUACUGCUUGCCUACAGAGAAGGACUGCUGGAGUUAGCAGGCUUGGAACCAAGGACGUGAUGGGGAAGGCGGCAAUGUAUCACGCUGGAGGAAGGUUGUUCUCAACAGGGUGGUUUGGAAUCACAUCAAAUACCUGAUCCCAACUGCUUCGGAGAUCCCUAACUGUCUCUUUGGCCCAACCAGCGGGUGAUGAGCACUGUGUUUAACCCAUUGUCUGCGACUGUAGAAUAAAUCCAGUGUAAGGACUAUGGGCUUUGACAAAGAUAAGCCAGAUUUUCAGUGCAGCUGCCAAAGCUGAAUAGUGGCUGGUUUGUGUCCAGUGAAGAACAGACUUGGGCUAAAUGGAACAGCUGCACAAAGAUGUUCAGCAUAAUAGCUCACCACUCUAUGUCUCCAUUAAUACUUGACAAAACCGAGAAGCUUUCAACACCAAAUGACACCUUCCCAAUUUCACCGAGUUCCCACGACAGUCCAGGGCAGUGUCCAAGUGCAAGGAAAUUCCAGGGAUGCUCAGAGGCGUAUCUCAGGGGAGGAGCUUGGAAGAAAAUAUCAGAGAGUUCAUGUUUUAACAGGCUACCCUCAAGAUAAUGGUGAGAAUUAGAGAUUUUUCUCCCCUUUCCGUUACUUGGCUCUGUAUCUCAGUAGCAAUUAUCAGAAGGGAAGUGCUGCACGGGAUAGGUGGGGCUUUGACAAACAACUGUACGAUAUAAAUUCUGGGACUGGCAAAUACGGUCAACAUAUCUUCUGAACUCACAUGACAGCACACUCAGUCUGUGUUUAAAACCAGUAACUGCAGGAAGAGAAGGUGGGAUCCAGAUCUUGGGCUGGUCCCCAACUCUGAUAUGGCAUCUCCAAAUAACAGACCUGAGAACGGGAGGAUAUGUGGCUCUCUCCUCUCUUUACCUGCUAUCACUAAUGGAAAAACUGCGCCUAAAACUGAUGUAUGUUUGACUGCAAAUCCCUUUUCUCCUUUCCUGAUUUAUUCUGUUUGCUUUCUUUGUAAUGAUUUGGGUCAGCAGUACACCUUGGCAUAGUCCUGAGUGCUGUUCUGAAUCGCAAAGAGAUACUUUGUGGGUAAGGUAACGCACUUAACAUCGCCGUUCUUCUGUUUGGCCAUCCCAAAGCAGAGAUGAGCAGUAUUAACCAAAAUAGGUUGUGACAUUUAAACGCUUGACAAGCCCUGGGCGACAGAGGUGACAACAAACUGCAUGAGCUCCUGUGACACACUGAACAAGAAAACUAGUAAGGUUAUACGUGCAAAUCAUGCUACAGCAUGGAGACUAUUUCCAGGAAUCAAAUAGUCAAAUACUGUACAAAAAACCUGUCUUAAACUUGUGUUUGCAUCCACUGAAGUUAAUGGUAUUAUCUGUGAUUUGUCAUAGAGAACUCAUAAUGGCCUUGGCAGUUAAAAGGACUUAAAUGGGGACUUUUUCCUCCACGUAAAGGCUGGAUGAGUCUAGCUUAAUUAUCUAGUCUGAUCUAAUUCAUCAUCCAGCUCAUUGACUUUCAUUCAGUGGUUCGUAGAACAUGCUCCAAAACCUGUGGUGCCUGGAUCACUUUGAUCAUAGAUGGAGACAGGAUGUUACAGGUAUGAAGAAGCCAAAUUGGCUCAUUACUUCAUUAAAUCAGGGCAUAGAGAAGAGCUACAACCCAAAUGGGGAUGUGACACUGCCUUAUCAGCUCAUCCAUCCAGUCUCUCCCACUGUCUCCAGGCAGAGGUUAAAUGGGCUUUGCCCAGAGUGGUUGGAUGCCUGGUUUAUUGACAGUAUUGGCUGCAAAAAAAAAAAAGGCCAUAAACACAAUGUAAAGGUAAAAAGAGGUGGGACUGAGCUGGGCUUUUUUUAAUCUCUUCCUUCUCCUCCUCAUAAAUAAUAUAACCAAUUAGGUUUUCAUUUCAUUCUUGGUCUCUCUUUGCUUCCAGCUGACCUCCUGAGCUGAAUCUGAACCCUUGAUCCUCACUCGUGGGGUAAGGUUGAAACUCGCUUGGCCAGUGUUCACUGACGAGGCUGUAGCAGCAUUGCUCUGCCAAGCAAAUAAAACUCUCUGAUUACAUCCACACUAAUAACCAGCACAGGUCUCUGCUGGCCACACAGCUCAACUUUUAGCAUGGUCCCUGGAACAGUUUUAGCCAAGACUAAGGAGUCCCAACGGUCCUGUAGUCGCACAGGCCAGACAGCCUUCCCAGUGACAAGGAUGGAUGUGACCAACCUCUCCCGGAAAAUAAUGGAGAUUAAUGAUACCGGGCCAGGGAACGGGCCCUGGCAAUGCUCAUUUUGCUGGCAGUAAAACACAAUGGAGAUACUUAAGUGCCUGCUCUAGAAGAUGUUCUGGUAAGAUGAGCCACAUAGGUCACAACGUUUCAGCUUUUUAUGGGUUAGUUCAGUCUGUCCCUUCUCGCAUAUGAAGUGCAUUUGGGACCUUAAUGCUAAAGCUGGCAGGAGACGAGAUGGGGAGGAAGCAGAAUGGGUUUUAUUGGAUCAUUUUUACUGGAGGCUGAUGUCUCCAGCUUUCCAAGGACACCUUGCGUCUCAUUGCUUUGCUGAAGCAUGAAGUCAAGGAGUUUGGCAGCAGUUGAGCAAUCAGUCACUCCUCUCUGCUUUAAAACAUUCCCUAACUCUUUGUUCCAGUAAGGACCACUGAAUUCAAAGUGGGAGAUCAUAUCCAGGGUGGAUGCUGAAGGCAAGGAAGCAGAAAAAAUCUUGAGUAAAGUUUACAAGCAGCUUUUCAAAUGGCUCGAAUGAAGUUCCCUUGGCUGUAUUUCUGCUGUUCCCCAGCUCAUCCCUCCGUUGCCUUGUAAACUGUUUGUACAGAAGGACAGCUACUCCUGUAUCUUAACAACUUACCUGGUGAUUCCUGGGACGGCAUUUCCAAACGAAGCAGGUAAAACCCCCUUUCCCUAAGCUGAAUCCUCUUUCUGUAAGAGUCACCCUCACCCCUGGGCAGCUGUAACACCACAUCGGAGCCCAGCAUUCAGCUCCCACCAAAGAGCCGUGCU